UUUACUGAUUCUACGCGUAUCGGUAUGCAAGGUGCGAAUGUCGAAGAUUAAUCGUGUAUUUUAUCCGUAUUAAAAAUGCAUAACAAGCGCGAAUUUCUUGUCGGGAGUGCCGAUCAAAGUGACGGGCGAUCACCGAAACGUAUUAUUUACCAAGAAUGUCCGCGAUUAACAUGUGUUUCGUUUGUCAUAACCAGCGUGAUAUCCAAUGCGUACCCGACAUAAAUCUGAUUGUCGGAAUUCAAUCGCGCAAACCAUUGUUGAGAUACCAUUGUUGUUUAUGUAUCCCUACUUAACGACCGUCAUAUGACCGCCAGUUCGUCUUACUAGUUCUGAAUGUUACAUCAGCAUGUUUACGCGAUACGAUAGAACGUGUUUCGUCUUUGUUUACGUUUCAUGUAUUGUAGUAUAGCAAAUUCGUGCGUAAAUCCGACAAGGUGAAAGUAAAGUGCGUGUUAGUGGCAACAAAUACGAGUUUUCGUGUCAUUUCGUCGAUGAAGCUCAUCGCCGAUGGAACGGAACGGUCUGUGAUGGAAUCUACAGCAGCUGAAGCCGACUUCAAUGUUCUAGUUGGUACAGCUGAAUUACAGGAAUUUUACAGGUACAGCUGAAUUACAGGAAUUUUACAGGUACAGCCGUAUUUAGCUAGGGUACAACGAUCGGUGAGUGAAUUAAUUUUUUAUACUUGCAUGGUUACACAGGUGUCAUUUGCUGUUUAUUUGUUCACCAAUAUUUAAUAUGCAACUGCUAUAAAUAACACUUUGACAAUAAUAUUCUUGUCUGCGAUUUAUGUUUUUACAAAAAAUACUGAAAUAUGAAAUUACAUUCUCUAUUUUAACACUAAAAAAGUUCAAAUUUUAU